AGCUGGUCUGAAGGUGGUGAGUUAUCUCAAUUGAUUGUUCACAGUUCACAGAUUGAACUUGUGUUCUAUACUCUCCUGUUCUCACUACUGCCCUUGACUAAUCUUUU
rnacentral:Y_RNA from 1 species